rnacentral:tmRNA from 1 species
GGGGGCGAACAGGGUUCGACGGGAAUGGUCAGAGACGUUUGCAGCAGGCCGGAGUUGGCCGAUGGCUCCGUAAAAAUCGGCUAAACAAUAAACAACGAUAAAAUAAAAAUCGUUCCGUUGCAAAACGUAAAGCCUAUGCCAGCCAUAGCGCCUGCGUUCUUGCCUUUUGCGGCUUAAGUCCGCAAACGUUUUACCUUAGAUAUCUGCUAUAGGGAUAAAACGUUAAGAGCAGGUUAGUUUUAAGUCGCGCGUUUCGUCGGCUUAAAAUGAAAUUAAAACGGAGCUCGUUUAUAGCGUAAUCCCGCUUUGAGACGGCGCUAUAAAUUAAAAAAAUUUCAAAGCUAAGCCUGUAGCGGCAGCGCCAAAGCAUUUUCGGACGCGGGUUCAAUUCCCGCCGCCUCCACCU